GCCAGAAAAGGGAACUGUUGCCGCCGUCACAUGCCUCGCCAUUGCCGUCGAUUUCGUCGGGAGAAGAUGCGUGGAGAGAAAAGCCGUGGGUCAAGCCAGAGAUCGCCGAGGGGGAGAGAGCUGCCAUCGCGUCUGCUGCAGGCUUUCCAUCAUCGCCAUCAUGGAGCCGCGAGGAGGCCGUCACCGGUGCGAGCUCGCGGAGGGAGAGAGGGGUACAAAAAUGUUCAAUUUUCAUGUCUUAGUUUUUUUUUUGUUCUUGUUUUA